UAGAGUUUGAUCCUGGCUCAGGACGAACGCUGGCGGCGUGCCUAAUACAUGCAAGUCGAACGAACUCUGGUAUUGAUUGGUGCUUGCAUCAUGAUUUACAUUUGAGUGAGUGGCGAACUGGUGAGUAACACGUGGGAAACCUGCCCAGAAGCGGGGGAUAACACCUGGAAACAGAUGCUAAUACCGCAUAACAACUUGGACCGCAUGGUCCGAGUUGAAAGAUGGCUUCGGCUAUCACUUUUGGAUGGUCCCGCGGCGUAUUAGCUAGAUGGUGAGGUAACGGCUCACCAUGGCAAUGAUACGUAGCCUGUCUCAGUC
rnacentral:rRNA from 2 species